rnacentral:misc_RNA from 1 species
CGCUUAUUUUUAACUGAGGUCCAGACAUUAUCAAGUCCGAUAUACGCUCCUAAAGUAUUUGUAUUCAUAAGCAUUUUGUAUUCAUCCUCACCCCUGCUUAAUAUCUUCCCAGACACUAGUGAGGGACUUUCAAUGCAUCCUCAAUUCGCUGGACGAGCUGAUCGGCAGGCAUGGCUCCUUCAAAGCGAUCACAUGGUUUUCCAUCCCUGAAAAGGAUGAAUGUAGGCAAUGCUUCGAUUCUGUAGCGACCAGCAAUGAGUGCGUAUUUCUCGGUAUCGACUUUAACGACCUGGAUUUUAUCUUUUAGCCGAUUACUCACUUGUUCAAGAAUGGGAACCAUGAGUUGGCAAGGGCCGCACCAAGUUGCAUAAAAGUCGACCAACACAGGCUUAUCAGAUUUUUCCAGAAGUUCAUCAAGCGAAGAAAAUGUCUGCUUCUUUGCUUCAACCCGCGGCGUAAUCGGUUUCUGAGGAACCGCGGAGAGCCUCCGGGCCCUCGCCGGAGCACGCCGGAGCGGCGGGCACCACAGCGAUCUCGAGGCGGAGAGCUGGGACGGGGCGAGGGAGGACGGGCGGCUGAGAUUGCAGCCAAGCGCCAUCGCUGCGGCGGAGCAGGUCGAGAUCGCCAUCCUUUUCCCCCGAAAUUG